rnacentral:rRNA from 1 species
CACGGACCGCACGAACGUUAUUCGGUAUCACUGGGCUUAAAGGGCGCGUAGGCGGUGAGAUAAGCGAGAUGUGAAAUCCCUGGGCUUAACCUAGGAACUGCGUCUUGAACUAUCUCGCUGGAGUACUGUAGAGGGUAGUGGAAUUUCCGGUGUAGCGGUGAAAUGCGUAGAGAUGUGGAGGAAUACCAAUGGCGAAGGCAGCCCCCUGGGAUAAUAUUGACGCUCAUGCACGAAAGCGUGGGGAGCAAACAGG